rnacentral:rRNA from 1 species
AAAGAAGGAAACUAAGAGGGCGUAUGGUGGAUGCCUUGGCUUAAAAAGGCGAUGAAGGACGUGGCGUGGCGACGAUAUGCUUCGGGGAGGUGCCAAGCAACCUUUGAUCCGGAGAUCUCCGAAUGAGGAAACUCUCUAGAUAGAAAUAUUUAGAAUCUGUAGCAAUACAGAUGCAAACCUCGGGAAGUGAAACAUCUCAGUACCGAGAGGAAAAGAAACCAAUAGGUAUUUCGUAAGUAGCGGCGAGCGAAAACGAAUCUAGCCCAAA